GCGGCGGCGGGGGGCGGCACAGCCCCGGCGGCAGGGCCAGUGGAGCCGCGGACGGGGACACCAUGUGCGGCAUCUUUGCCUACCUGAACUACCAUGUGCCCAGGACCCGGCGGGAGAUCCUGGAGACCCUCAUCAAGGGGCUGCAGCGCCUGGAGUACAGAGGCUAUGACUCUGCAGGAGUGGGAGUGGAUGGUGGCAACGACAAGGACUGGGAAGCCAACGCCUGCAAGAUCCACCUGAUCAAACAGAAGGGCAAGGUGAAGGCUCUGGACGAGGAGGUCCACAAGCAACAGGACAUGGACCUGGACAUCGAGUUCGACGUGCACCUGGGCAUCGCCCACACCCGCUGGGCCACGCACGGCGAGCCCAGCCCUGUCAACAGCCACCCGCAGCGCUCCGACAAGGACAACGAGUUCAUUGUCAUCCACAAUGGCAUCAUCACCAACUACAAAGACCUGCGGAAGUUCCUGGAGAGCAAGGGCUACGACUUCGAGUCGGAGACGGACACGGAGAGCAUCGCCAAGCUGGUCAAGUACAUGUACGACAACAGGGACAGCGACGACAUCAGCUUCACCACCCUGGUGGAGAGAGUCAUCCAGCAGCUGGAAGGAGCUUUCGCCCUCGUCUUCAAAAGCGUUCACUACCCAGGCCAAGCAGUUGGCACCAGGAGGGGCAGUCCCCUGCUGAUCGGAGUGCGCAGCGAGCACAAGCUCUCCACCGACCACAUCCCCAUCCUCUACCGCACAGGGAAGGACAAGAAGGGAAGCUGCAACCUGUCCCGGGUGGACAGCACCACCUGCCUGUUCCCCGUGGAGGAGAAGGCUGUGGAGUACUACUUUGCCUCGGAUGCCAGUGCUGUGAUCGAGCACACCAACAGAGUGAUCUUCCUGGAGGACGACGAUGUGGCAGCCGUGGUGGACGGGCGCCUCUCCAUCCACCGCAUCAAGCGCACCGCCGGGGACCACCCGGGCAGGGCUGUGCAGACCCUGCAGAUGGAGCUGCAGCAGAUCAUGAAGGGUAACUUCAGCUCCUUUAUGCAGAAGGAAAUCUUUGAGCAGCCAGAAUCUGUGGUUAACACCAUGAGGGGAAGGGUCAACUUUGAUGACUACACAGUGAAUCUGGGCGGGCUGAAGGAUCACAUCAAGGAGAUCCAGAGGUGUCGCCGCCUGAUCCUCAUCGCCUGCGGCACCAGCUACCAUGCGGGCGUGGCCACCCGGCAGGUGCUGGAGGAGCUGACAGAGCUGCCAGUGAUGGUGGAGCUUGCCAGUGACUUCCUGGACAGGAACACUCCUGUCUUCAGGGAUGAUGUCUGCUUCUUCCUCAGCCAGUCAGGGGAGACAGCAGACACCCUGAUGGGGCUGAGGUACUGCAAGGAGCGAGGGGCCCUGACCGUGGGCAUCACCAACACCGUGGGCAGCUCCAUCUCGCGCGAGACCGACUGCGGGGUGCACAUCAACGCGGGGCCCGAGAUCGGCGUGGCCAGCACCAAGGCCUACACCAGCCAGUUCAUCUCGCUGGUGAUGUUUGCCCUGAUGAUGUGUGACGACAGGAUCUCCAUGCAGGAGAGGCGCAAGGAGAUCAUGCGUGGCCUGAAGGGGCUGCCAGACCUAAUUAAAGAAGUGCUGAGCAUGGAUGAUGAGAUCCAGAAGUUGGCCACGGAGCUCUACCACCAGAAGUCUGUGCUGAUCAUGGGCAGAGGCUAUCACUAUGCUACCUGCCUGGAGGGAGCUUUGAAAAUCAAGGAGAUCACCUACAUGCACUCUGAGGGCAUCCUGGCAGGGGAGCUGAAGCAUGGCCCCCUGGCCCUGGUGGACAAGCUGAUGCCAGUGAUCAUGAUCAUCAUGAGAGACCACACCUAUGCCAAGUGCCAGAAUGCCCUGCAGCAGGUCAUUGCCCGCCAGGGGAGGCCUGUGGUGAUCUGUGACAAGGAGGACAUUGAGACCAUCAAGAACAACAAGAGGACAAUCAAAGUUCCCCACUCAGUGGACUGUCUGCAGGGGAUCCUGAGUGUGAUCCCCCUCCAGCUGCUGGCUUUCCACCUGGCAGUGCUCAGAGGCUAUGAUGUGGAUUUCCCACGCAAUCUGGCCAAGUCUGUAACUGUAGAGUGACAGAGAUCUGCUGCCUCGCAGGGGCGCAGGGCACCCGGGCAGAGACUCCUGGCUUCGGUGCCCAGCCCCUUGGCUUUCAGGCCCCCUGGGCACACCUCCUUGGGGGGAAGCCUCCUUUGUGCCCAAGGUCGAUCGCAUUGCUGCCUCCAGGGACUGAGCCUGCGCUGCCACCUCGCUGCCGCCUGCUGCCUGCAGCCUCGAGGAGGAGGAGGAGGAGUGAGAGGGGUGAGCUGCGGGCAGCCAGAGCCACCUCCCUGGGCUGCCACCUUCUCUGCCCACACCCCAGGGCAGCAGCAGGCAUCGGCCAGGUCCUGUCUGCUCUGCAGCACCCCAGCUGUGGGUGCUUGGCACCAGCUCCCCUCCAGUCCUUGCUGGCUGCCCCUGGCACUCAGUUCUUACCUCCCCUUUAGGUCUGGCACAAUAAAGGUCUCCCAGGCUGCCCAGUGCCCAGGGCAGAGCAUCUCCUCCUCA